UACUGUUAACAGACUACAUUGCAUGUGGAAGAACUGUUUAUAGCAAAUAGAGAUGCACUAGUGUAUCGGCCAAUAAUAGGUAUAGAAACAUCUGAUGUCCUGUGUGUAAAGAUGAUGUCUCUUGUGUAGAAUGACGACAAAACUGCAGUUUGUAAGCUCUGCACUGCUAAAAUUUUACACCGGACGCUGCAGCAGUGAAGCGGGAGUUUCGCCAGUACAGCGUUGAAAGAUUUAAAUGAAGUUCUGGAGUGGGACCCAUAAACAUGUAGAAGUCAAGGAUCCCACCAAUGGUGCGCAGGACUCCAUGAGCAUGAGAGCUUGGCUCCAGGCCCAUGUAGAAGGGAUGCACACCAUAAGAGUUCAACUUAUACUGCAGAGAGUGAAAAAAAUCUCCUGAAGGAAACACAUCACCCUGCUGGAUUGGCAGCUAUCAAGUAAGGACUAACUUACGAUCCCUCUGAAGAUGCAGGUUCAAUUUAAGUAUAAUGUGGUUCAUUGAGAAACAUUAUUUCAGUUAUGCCAAUUAAGACCACUUUGAAUGCUGGAAUGAUUGGGCCAUCUUGGAAAAGCUGCUAUUAUUUGUUUUAAGGUUUUUUAUGUUUUGCACCAAUCAUUGCUUGCUUCUUCCUUUUUUCCUUCCAAGUUUAGUUUUAAUGUCCUGUUUUUUCUGGUUUUGAGAUUUAUCUGCCCAUUUGACUCUGCGAAAGGAUUCACCUUAGUUAAGUACAUUUUAAUAUUAUGAGUUCUGACCCCUGCAAGUGACUUUGACAAUGAUUCUCACAAAAGCAUGAAUAAAAAUAUGUAUGCAUUUAUGUCCAACCCCUGCUGGCCUCACUCUGAUACACAUGCUCCAUUACCAUUCAUAUUUUCAUAUAAAUUGGCUAUUGUAUUUUCAUGUAAAUCAGGCUCUCAUGUUAUAUGUGCAUGUGUAAGUGGUGCCUCAUGGUAUAGUUUGCCAAAAUAAAUGCCCACUAAACAUCAAUACAAAAUGUCCUUAUAAAUGAAUUUUGUGCAAUUAGCACCAUGAGUUUGAUUUUGUCAUCUCAUUUGCUUUAUGAUACCAAUACUUAGGUUUUAUUUCUUGACAAUGAUACAGACAACUUGCUUCAUAGUUACUCCAUUAGAAAUACUGAUUGUUUCAUCUUCUACCGUACAUCAAGCAAUGAAUACAUAUACUUUUUUUUAUUUCAUUUGAGCUAUAUUCAACUCAUUAAAUAUAUACAACUCAGGAAUUA